rnacentral:siRNA from 1 species
UGCCGUGAUCGUGGUCUGCA